UGGGGAAUAUUGCACAAUGGAGGGAACUCUGAUGCAGCGACGCCGCGUGAACGAAGAAGGCUUUCGAGUCGUAAAGUUCUUUUAUAUGGGAAGAUAAUGACGGUACCAUAAGAAGAAGCCCCGGCUAACUACGUGCCAGCAGCCGCGGUAAUACGUAGGGGGCUAGCGUUGUCCGGAAUCACUGGGCGUAAAGGGUUCGCAGGCGGAAAUGCAAGUCAGGUGUAAAAGGCAGUAGCUUAACUACUGUAAGCAUUUGAAACUGCAUAUCUUGAGAAGAGUAGAGGUAAGUGGAAUUUUUAGUGUAGCGGUGAAAUGCGUAGAUAUUAAAAAGAAUACCGGUGGCGAAGGAGACUUACUGGGCUCAUUCUGACGCUGAGGAACGAAAGCGUGGGUAGCAAACAGG
rnacentral:rRNA from 1 species